rnacentral:lncRNA from 1 species
UGAAAUAAAAUAUUCAUUAGAAGCAAAAUAAAGUUUAUACAACUUCAAGAAUAAAAAUAGAAAAAAUAAAACCCUUGGCCCUUUGUUAGGGCUGCAUCUAGCCCUAGUAAAGGAAUCAGCCCUGCAUGGUAUGGGAUGUGGUAGCGGCGACGCUGAAGGCUUCCAUCUCUUCUUUCCUUCCUUCUCUGAUUCUUUCCUCCCUUAUGUUGGAACUCCCUGAUGAACAAGCCACAGACUUCUUCGGAUCAGAAAAGAGCUGCCCCUUCCAGGAGAUUAACUCUUCCUUUUUAUAGCCCCCUGACUCCUGUUAUCCUCGCCCGAAUAUAAUGAGAAGAUAAAUGCAGAGGAAUCGCUUCGGUUCCGCGAACGUGAUCGAAAUGGGAAGAAGACCCGAUCCGAACGUGAAAGUCGGAGUCCACCGAUGCCAGAGAUGAGACUCCGACUUUGUUCGCUUCCUGGGAAGCAUGGCUCGAAGGCAUGUGGAAGAUUCAUCCCGAUCGCAUCCCGGAAUGGUUGCAGCUGGUUCAGAUUCGUGUUGAAAGGGAUGAAGUUGCUUGAUCUUUUGGAUGCAGGUGAUAGCGAGGACGUGGAUGUUGAGAAGAUCUCAGAGGAGAAGAUGGGAGGAAGUUGGAUACGGUGGAUUUAUCAGGCUCUGUUCUGAAACAGGGAGAAAGGAUGAAUCAAAUGGAUCCUAAACGGGAUGAAGGGGAGAUAAGCCAAACGCGUGGGAAGAUAAGUUGGGCGAUGAUCCUUGUAUCGCGGAUGCUGGGAAUAACUGGGAGCUGAU